GAUGAACGCUGGCGGCGUGCCUAAUACAUGCAAGUCGAGCGAACGGACGAGAAGCUUGCUUCUCUGAUGUUAGCGGCGGACGGGUGAGUAACACGUGGAUAACCUACCUAUAAGACUGGGAUAACUUCGGGAAACCGGAGCUAAUACCGGAUAAUAUUUUGAACCGCAUGGUUCAAAAGUGAAAGACGGUCUUGCUGUCACUUAUAGAUGGAUCCGCGCUGCAUUAGCUAGUUGGUAAGGUAACGGCUUACCAAGGCAACGAUGCAUAGCCGACCUGAGAGGGUGAUCGGCCACACUGGAACUGAGAUACGGUCCAGACUCCUACGGGAGGCAGCAGUAGGGAAUCUUCCGCAAUGGGCGAAAGCCUGACGGAGCAACGCCGCGUGAGUGAUGAAGGUCUUCGGAUCGUAAAACUCUGUUAUUAGGGAAGAACAUAUGUGUAAGUAGCUGUGCACAUCUUGACGGUACCUAAUCAGAAAGCCACGGCUAACUACGUG
rnacentral:rRNA from 1 species